rnacentral:lncRNA from 1 species
AUGGGGUAGAGACGCUAGGCCGGCACUGCCUAGGUGGGCCGGGCGGUGCGAGGGUCGCCUUUCAGCCUUUACCUCUACCCACUGAAAUGGAGUAGGUCGGUGAGCGCCGAUCUGCUGGAGAAUCUCAUUAUCCCAUCGGCGCUCUGCCUGCUCCUGGCCUCCAAGCCUCUGAAGCCCCUCGGGUUUCAGCUGCCGGCUACCCUCGAGCCCGUGGUGCCCACGAGAGAGGCGACUUUACGUCAGCGGCCCUGGGCUGAGAUUUGAGAACGCGACCAAGUGGAGAAUGUUGGAGCCAGAUUUUAAAAUCCUUGUCUUCCUUCUGCGUGCUACUUGAUCUAAAUGAGAUACGGCAAAGUCACAGAACCUGUUUUUAUGUUUUUGCCUGAUUCAUACGGGCUUCUCCGGUGAAGAUGGGCCUGAAGUAACGCUUGGGUUGCUUCUGACGUUAUAACUCAUCCUGUAGCUGCAGCAACCGUGGUCCUUGCAACCUCAUAAAAAUGUUGCCAGCAUUGUUUCGAUAGUGCUGCUUAAUUCUUGGAAGGCCUCUUUGCUUUCUUCCCUGAGGUUCUUCGGACUUCACACAUUCCAGCAGUAGCUCUCUCAGCUCCUGUCCUGCACAGCUUUGAAGUGCUGAAACAGAGAAGAGUAUGAGAAGUGUUACAGAACAUGAAGAUACCCUUGUGGCUCAAACAUACUUAUUUUUAAAAACUCUAAAAGUCUAAAUGUGUCUGUAUCUGGAUAUAUUUUCAGUCAACUUAUGCUGUGUUGGGUAAAGGUAAACCAGCAUUUUCUAAUCUAUAUUUGUGCCACUAUCACCAGCAUUACACGAUAAGAUUUGUUAUAGGUUCAGUUCUUCUAGUUGAAUCCAAUCAUGCACAGUUAAUGUAGCCCAUUUCUGUUCUCCAUAAUAAUUUAUCUUAGUUUUGGGCAACUCUUUAUAGUCAGGAUAACUCUGCAGAGUGGAUGAAAUUCUAAUGAGUGGAAUUUGUUUUCUAGUGCUUUACUGAUAAGGUUAACCAGAUGGUGAAAUGUAAUAGCUUGGAAGAUGUAGUUUUGAUAUACAGUACAUCAUUUCUGGAAUGAUCAUGAAAAAGCAAAAUCAACAGAGCUUUUUAGAUUCUCUUUUUUGGUCAUGAAAUUGAAAAUAUACCUUUUUAGAGAGAAAUAUCUCAUCAUAGUUCUCCUGACAUUUAAACUGCUUGGCUAUAUAUUUUUAAAAGAAGACAAACUUUUGAAAAUGUUGCUAUAAAUUUUUAUGUAUUGUAGAUUUAAAAAAUCUCAUUUAAAAAAUGAAAGAUUAUGAAAUUUUUUAUGUCACCUGAAGGAAUGUCUAUGAUGUGAAUUUCAAAUAAAAUAGAUUUUCUUCAA